AGAGAGAGACAUGCGCGCAUAUCAAUAAGCGGAGGAAAAGAAACUAACAAGGAUUCCCUUAGUAACGGCGAGUGAAGCGGGAAGAGCUCAAAUUUGAAAUCUUCAAGGUUUUACCUUGACGAAUUGUAGUUUAAAGAAGUGUUUUCUGCUGAAGUUUUGGUAAAAGUUCUUUGGAAUAGGACAUCAUAGAGGGUGAGAAGUCCCGUAUUUGACCAUUAUUUUCAGCUUUGUGAUACACUUUCAAAGAGUCGGAAUUGUUUGGGAAUGCAGGUCCAAAAUGGGUGGUAAAUUUCAUCUAAAGCUAAAUAUUGGCGAGAGACCGAUAGCGAACAAGUACCGUGAGGGAAAGAUGAAAAGAACUUUGAAAAGAGAGUUAAACAGUACGUGAAAUUGUCAAAAGGGAAGCGUUUGACACCAGUGUUGUUUUCUCGAAAAUCAAUUAAAAAUGGCUCGAUUUUGUAUUGCUGAGACCUUAAAAGCUCACUGUACAUUUUUCGUGUCUUUUUUAAUGCACUUUUCGUUUAACAAGUCAACAUCAGUUUCUUUUGUUGUAAAAGGGUCAUUGGAAGGUGGCUUUCUUUUCGGAGAAAGUGUUUAUAGCCUUUGGCCUCUGCAAUCGGAAGAGACUGAGGUCUGCAGCGUAGACUCUUCGGGGUUAGAUACAUUUGUGCUAAGUUAUAGCUUUUUAUAGACAACUUGUUGACUAUAAUUAGUCUUGUAGCUUACUCGCUUAUGCUAUUUUACCUACGCUUAGGAUGUUGAAGUCAUCGUAUCGCGC
rnacentral:rRNA from 1 species